AUUGAACGCUGGCGGCAGGCCUAACACAUGCAAGUCGAACGAGUGGCGGACGGGUGAGUAAUGUCUGGGAAACUGCCUGAUGGAGGGGGAUAACUACUGGAAACGGUAGCUAAUACCGCAUACCAUCGGAUGUGCCCAGAUGGGAUUAGCUAGUGGGUGGGGUAAAGGCUCACCUAGGCGACGAUCCCUAGCUGGUCUGAGAGGAGGACCAGCCACACUGGAACGGAGACACGGUCCAGACCCCUACGGGAGGCAGCAGUGGGGAAUAUUGCACAAUGGGAUCAAGCCUGAUGCAGACAUGCCGAGUGGAUGAAGAAGGCCUUCGGGUUGUAAAGGACUUUCAGCGGGAAGGCGUUACCAGAAGAAGAAGCACCGGCUAACUCCGUGCCAGCAGCCGCGGUAAUUC
rnacentral:rRNA from 1 species